AAAGGCCCAACAGAGGGAAACCCUAAGUAACCCUAAUCCAGAAACCUAUAUAAAGAGGAGUCUCCCUAUAGCUGAGCCAUCAGACACUCACCAAGCGAAGCCCUGCGAGAUCCGAGAGCCGCCGCCGCCGCCAGCCCACCAAGGAACCGCCGCCGCCGAUCACCGCCCGCGUAGCCCAAGUCGCCGAUCGCGGGUACCAAGCCGCCGGCUUCUCGAUUCUGUGGCGUGUAACCGUCUUCGUUUGGAUUACUAAGAUCUCUGAGUACCAGAUCCGGA
rnacentral:lncRNA from 1 species